rnacentral:rRNA from 1 species
CCUACGGGUGGCAGCAGUGAGGAAUAUUGGUCAAUGGACGAGAGUCUGAACCAGCCAAGUAGCGUGAAGGAUGACUGCCCUAUGGGUUGUAAACUUCUUUUAUAUGGGAAUAAAACGUUCCACGUGUGGGAUUUUGUAUGUACCAUAUGAAUAAGGAUCGGCUAACUCCGUGCCAGCAGCCGCGGUAAUACGGAGGAUCCGAGCGUUAUCCUGAUUUAUUGGGUUUAAAGGGAGCGUAGGUGGAGUGUUAAGUCAGUUGUGAAAGUUUGCGGCUCAACCGUAAAAUUGCAGUUGAAACUGGCAGUCUUGAGUACAGUAGAGGUGGGCGGAAUUCGUGGUGUAGCGGUGAAAUGCUUAGAUAUCACGAAGAACUCCGAUUGCGAAGGCAGUUCACUGGACUGCAACUGACACUGAGGCUCGAAAGUGUGGGUAUCAAACAGGAUUAGAUACCCUAGUAGUC